GUUCUGUUCUGUAACAGCGAUUACCAUUCCUCUUCUUAAACUACAUUCUGACUGUUUAUUCUGUAUAUAUAUGUAUUAUAUAUUUAUUUACACACACACACACAUAUAUAUUAUCCGAAUACACAUUUUAUAAGCGAAAUUUAAUGAGUGCGGCAAAUUCCUAACUUGUUAUUACGAAUCUUACAUGCAAAAUAUUAAUCAAACGUAAAGAAAAAAAAAGUCUGUGACUAUUUAUAUUUUAUUGCUUCUGAUAGUUUUGAGGACGGUGGAACUAAAAUGGUGCUGGUGUUCCAUUUCUUGUGUUUCUCGCUUUUAAAAAGAAAGAUAUUAUCAAGUCUUCAUGCCGUUACUAUUAAUGGCGUUUCUGAAGAAAAUGAAAUCACCUUCUUUUCUGUCUUUGCUGUUAAGAAGUUAUUUAGUUCUAUAUGUGACUGUUUAAUUACGCCAAGUACAAAAGAAGUCUUGGAACUGUCCGAAUUUCCAUGAGGUCGUAUGUUGGGUCAAUCUGAAGGGGGACAUAGCGCAAAAUCGCAGAAAACCUUGGGAUCCUGCUUUCUACAGUUAAUAGAGUGAUUGUUCACUGCACCAGAGAGGGGAAGAAGUCCACAUCCCCUUGCCCAGAUCAAUCAGGGCCCUCUGACAGGACCCUUCUCUUUGCGAAGAGAAGUGUGGAGGAUAAUCCUCGUUGCAAGGCCUCUGACAUAGCAGAACAAGUUGAUAUCAGUCCCAGAACAGCUGUCAGGUAUCUCCACAAACUUGAUUACUAUAGCAGAGCAGCAGGAAGGAAGCCACUUCUUCGAACAGCCAACAUCAAGCAGAGAAAAGAUUUACAUCCUCUGUUCUUUCGCACCUCGAAUUCCGUUUUUUUUAUUUUCGGAGUCGUACUUGUUCGCUAAGUGAUAUGACCUGAGAACGUUUAUUGAGAAUUAAAACACUUACAUCGUCGAAAAGCCACUUAGCUAUCUAAAAACUCAUAAAACUCUUAAAUUCACUUGGAAAGAUAGGAAAGCGGGGAAGAAAAUGAAGCAAUUGCAUCGUGCAAGAACCAUUUAAGUCGUCUAAAAGCCUACAACAACCAUUAAA